CGUACUGAGACACGGACCAGACUCCUACGGGAGGCAGCAGUGGGGAAUUUUCCGCAAUGGGCGAAAGCCUGACGGAGCAACGCCGCGUGAGGGAUGAAGGCCUCUGGGCUGUAAACCUCUUUUCUCAAGGAAGAAGAUCUGACGGUACUUGAGGAAUAAGCCACGGCUAAUUCCGUGCCAGCAGCCGCGGUAAUACGUAGGGUGCAAGCGUUAAUCGGAAUUACUGGGCGUAAAGCGUGCGCAGGCGGUUCGGAAAGAGAGGUGUGAAAUCCCAGGGCUCAACCUUGGAACUGCACUUUUAACUACCGAGCUAGAGUAUGUCAGAGGGGGGUGGAAUUCCGCGUGUAGCAGUGAAAUGCGUAGAUAUGCGGAGGAACACCGAUGGCGAAGGCAGCCCCCUGGGAUAAUACUGACGCUCAUGCACGAAAGCGUGGGGAGCAAACAGGAUUAGAUACCCUGGUAGUCCACGCCCUAAACGAUGUCAACUAGCUGUUGGGGCCUUCGGGCCUUAGUAGCGCAGCUAACGCGUGAAGUUGACCGCCUGGGGAGUACGGUCGCAAGAUUAAAACUCAAAGGAAUUGACGG
rnacentral:rRNA from 1 species